AUCAGGUCACGGCGGAAGAAAGGAGGAUGCCAGAACUCAUACAAGGUGGGAAUCUUCAUCUUCUGAAUCAAUAAUAAUGUCAUCAGUGGAUUGAAUUGGAGAAGAGUCUUUGUCUGAAGGAAUAUGGGUAGAUUGGUCAACAGUAGCUGAGUACAAUGAAAAAUAAACAUGCCUCUUAUUCGA